CAAGUGGUGAAGCCAGGAUUAGAACCAUGACCUUCUUGCCUCAGGUGGAUCCCAACUGGAGAAGAUCUAGCACAUUGAGCCGCACGAAACGACUAUGCCCGUACCCAGCAAAGAACUAACUCCAUAUUUACCUCAUUACCUUCGGUCAACAGAAUCUGAGUCUUAAUGGUCGACUGCUGAGUUCACAGUUUCUCCUCAGGAAUCGAUCGGUUUGCCCAAUUCAGACUGGGAUCCUGGGGAACAGAGAGCCGGGUGGGGUCCUUUUCCAGCAAUUCUCACGUUGUGAUACCUACGCCUAUUUGGCAGGAGGUGUGGGUCCAGAAAAUUGUGCUGAUUCUCCACUGUGCUUUGCCGAAUUGCUUUAUUCCCGACUUUUGAAUCAUUAAUAAAGUCUGAUUUUUGUGAGCCUGA